UACGGAGGGUGCAAGCGUUAUCCGGAUUUACUGGGUUUAAAGGGUGCGCAGGCGGAUAUGUAAGUCAGUGGUGAAAUCUCCGGGCUUAACCCGGAACUGACCGUUGAUACUAUAUAUCUUGAAUGCCGUGGAGGUAAGCGGAAUAUGUCAGUGUAGCGGUGAAUGCUUAGAUAUGAACAUAGAACACCUAUUGCGAAGGCAGCUUACUACACGGAGAUUGACGCUCAUGACACGAAAGCGUGGGAUCAACAGG
rnacentral:rRNA from 1 species